AAUUAGAUGAAGAGAACAGAAAAUUUUGGCAAGAUAACGUUGCUCAUACUAAUUAGAAUGUGGCAUGAUAUAAGAUGUUUAUUACAAAAAAUAAAUUAAUUCAUUCUACAUACAAAAAUACAUCGUAGGUAAUUAAUAUUAAUAAUACUCUGUAUUUAGUGAUGGUUUCAUAAUAUUGAUAAUGAUGAUAAUUUUAAGAUGUGACAGUUAUGACACAUAAUUAUACAAUAUAUAUUAUGCAAUAUUCUCUGUGGUUUGGUUGCUGAUAAUCUCACUUCAAACGGCACGAUGGAUAUUUAUGUACGUAAAUUAAUUCCUUAUACUAUCCAAUACAAAUUGCUACUGAAGCACGGUUUCAAAUUCGAAAGUACAUGGCCAGAUACUUCUGGUCUUAAACAUUCUAAAUCCUACAAUUAUUAAUGCAAUAAUGGCAUGAAAUAGCAAUCAUAAGAUUGACGAUCGUGUCGUUUGACGUGUGAGCAACCGCAUCGACUGGUAAUAUUAGGUAUAUAUUUGAAAAUAUUGUUCCCUAAAAUAAAUCUCUUCUAAUAAUGUGUUGUACAAUAAAGUGCUUUAAAUUAAACAAGAA